AGUGUCGCACCAAAUUUGGUGUAAAAUUAUAGUGUGGCACUAAAAUGGUGUGAUUUUUUUUGCAGUUGGAUUGAAGAUGUUUUAGUGUAAAAAUUACAAUAAAAUAGUGUUUUGCAGUUUGGUUGGAGAUGGCCUAAGAAAAUUUUAGUUUCGCAUGAUCAUCCCAUAUAUACUAUUCUUUGCGAAGUAAUAUUUCGCACUCAAACUUUCAAGUUAAAAGUUUAGAGUGGUUAAUGUCGUUUAUAUCUUUAAUAAAUAAAAUGUAUAAAUUAGCUAAAAUUUUAAAACGAAUUUAA
rnacentral:lncRNA from 1 species